rnacentral:lncRNA from 1 species
AAAAUUUGUUGAGGACACUCUUUCUGCUGAUUUUCAUGUAAUUAUAUUUGCAUAUAAUGCUUAACCCUUCUAUAAUUAUUAUUGUUUUAUACUUCGUUCUUUUUUCAAUAGGAGAAAGUUCCAGGUUUCGCAACAUGCGAACUAAUCAAAAGCUUCUCCAUACUAUGGGUAGAAAUGGUUAUCCACGUGUGGCUUAUAAAAUGGUACAUCUUAGGAACAUAUCUUAUCUUCUUACUUGGAUUGUCCAAUUUGAAUAUAUGUGAUUACUACAGUUGUAUUGCAGAAAAAAUCCAAGUUUAAAAGGGUUAAGAACAGAAGUAUAGAAAUAUGGACAUCUUAGAAAAGAUGGAAACCCAAUUAAUGAAGCAGUUGUCGAAACUUUGAUAUGUGUAUUAUACCAAUGUUCAAUGAAGCAUAAAUUGAUUUAUUAGUUGUAUCACUUGCUAGUAUUUGAUUUGAGUUCCAUAAGCGCAAAAAAGGAUUGACGAUUGUGCAGCAUCAAUUUCUGAUACGCCCGCCGAAGAUUCCAUCCGUGAUUAUGCUGUCGCUUGAGUUUUAGGCCCUGAACAUCAUGGGAGAGUUAGGGGACUCGAAUUUGGAGUUGUACCAUCAGAGGUGGAUGGACAAAUUCAAAGUAGUGGGAGAGUUAAAGAAUUCAAAAGUCAAUUAUAGACUCAGGCACAAAGGGUGGGAACAUUAGAAAAAAAUGGAUGCACUUCUCACGUUAUCUCAGGAGGUUAUACCUAGUUACCUUUUAUAUAUUUCAUGAUUAUAUAGCUUUAUAUAGCCAAUUACAUGUAGAAUUACUUUUGUAAUUUUUGUAUCAUUAUACAGAAUGUAGAGGACAGGAAUUCAAAUGCUUUUACU